UACACAUGCAAGUCGACGGAAAGGCCCUUCGGGGUACUCGAGUGGCGAACGGGUGAGUAACACGUGGGUGAUCUGCCCUGCACUUUGGGAUAAGCCUGGGAAACUGGGUCUAAUACCGAAUAGGACCGCAUGCUUCAUGGUGUGUGGUGGAAAGCUUUUGCGGUGUGGGAUGGGCCCGCGGCCUAUCAGCUUGUUGGUGAGGUAAUGGCUUACCAAGGCGACGACGGGUAGCCGGCCUGAGAGGGUGACCGGCCACACUGGGACUGAGAUACGGCCCAGACUCCUACGGGAGGCAGCAGUGGGGAAUAUUGCACAAUGGGCGCAAGCCUGAUGCAGCGACGCCGCGUGAGGGAUGACGGCCUUCGGGUUGUAAACCUCUUUCGCCAGGGACGAAGCGCAAGUGACGGUACCUGGAGAAGAAGGACCGGCCAACUACGUGCCAGCAGCCGCGGUAAUACGUAGGGUCCGAGCGUUGUCCGGAAUUACUGGGCGUAAAGAGCUCGUAGGUGGUUUGUCGCGUUGUUCGUGAAAACUCACAGCUUAACUGUGGGCGUGCGGGCGAUACGGGCAGACUUGAGUACUGCAGGGGAGACUGGAAUUCCUGGUGUAGCGGUGGAAUGCGCAGAUAUCAGGAGGAACACCGGUGGCGAAGGCGGGUCUCUGGGCAGUAACUGACGCUGAGGAGCGAAAGCGUGGGGAGCGAACAGGAUUAGAUACCCUGGUAGUCCACGCCGUAAACGGUGGGUACUAGGUGUGGGUUUCCUUCCUUGGGAUCCGUGCCGUAGCUAACGCAUUAAGUACCCCGCCUGGGGAGUACGGCCGCAAGGCUAAAACUCAAAGAAAUUGACGGGGGCCCGCACAAGCGGCGGAGCAUGUGGAUUAAUUCGAUGCAACGCGAAGAACCUUACCUGGGUUUGACAUGCACAGGACGCCGGCAGAGAUGUCGGUUCCCUUGUGGCCUGUGUGCAGGUGGUGCAUGGCUGUCGUCAGCUCGUGUCGUGAGAUGUUGGGUUAAGUCCCGCAACGAGCGCAACCCUUGUCUCAUGUUGCCAGCACGUUAUGGUGGGGACUCGUGAGAGACUGCCGGGGUCAACUCGGAGGAAGGUGGGGAUGACGUCAAGUCAUCAUGCCCCUUAUGUCCAGGGCUUCACACAUGCUACAAUGGCCGGUACAAAGGGCUGCGAUGCCGUGAGGUGGAGCGAAUCCUUUCAAAGCCGGUCUCAGUUCGGAUCGGGGUCUGCAACUCGACCCCGUGAAGUCGGAGUCGCUAGUAAUCGCAGAUCAGCAACGCUGCGGUGAAUACGUUCCCGGGCCUUGUACACACCGCCCGUCACGUCAUGAAAGUCGGUAACACCCGAAGCCGGUGGCCUAACCCCUUGUGGGAGGAGCCGCGAAAAGAUGAAGUGGU
rnacentral:rRNA from 1 species